rnacentral:rRNA from 1 species
UAAUACAGAGACUGCAAGCGUUAUUCGGAUUCACUGGGCGUAAAGGGUGCGCAGGCGGCCGUGUGUGUUAGGUGUGAAAGCCCGGGGCUUAACCCCGGAAUUGCGCCUAAAACUACAUGGCUAGAGCAUUGGAGAGGGUAGCGGAAUUCACGGUGUAGCAGUGAAAUGCGUAGAUAUCGUGAGGAACACCAGAGGCGAAGGCGGCUACCUGGACAAUUGCUGACGCUCAGGCACGAAAGCGUGGGGAGCAAAAGGG